rnacentral:tRNA from 1 species
AGGCCAGUAGCUCAAGUUGGCAGAGCAGCGGUCUCCAAAACCGCAGGUUGCGGGUUCAAGUCCUGCCUGGCCUG